GUGUGUGUGUGUGUGUGUGCUUGCAGCCGUCUAACAUGAUGAAUGGGAGUACAUCAGACCCAAGGCUGCAUCCUGAAGAGUUUGGUUUGUGCUACGCCAACAGGCUCUUCUAAUGAAGGCAGAGGGCUUCAGAGCACGCUUCAGGAGGUCCAUGGGGCCCUCUCAUGGAAACAGGAACUUGUUACAGCAUCGUAACAGGUUUCCAAAGCCUGUAGCCAUAGAUUAGGAAAGAACUGGACUGGUAGGCUCGGACUAAAAGGGGCUUUAUAACCCGAUAACUGGCUUGGAAUGACGUGAAGUGUGUGUGUGUGUGUGUGUGUGUGUGUGUGUGUGUGUGUGUGUGUGUGUUGAAGUGUUGGACCGUAUGCUGGAAGGGGUGGAGAAGAAUGAACCCAUCAAUUUAGUGGAGCAAUGCUUCAAAACAAAGGAUGUCUGGCAGAUCAAGUUGGCUGCCACUACAAGUCAAGUCAAAGUGUUCUGUGUGUAGGUGUGUGUGUGUAUGUUACUAAGUCAAAGUGUUCUGUGUGUAGGUGUGUGUGUGUGUGUGUAUGUUACUACAAGUCAAAGUGUUCUGUGUGUGUGUGUGUGUGUGUAUGUUACUACAAGUCAAAGUGUUCUGUGUGUAGGUGUGUGUGUGUGUGUGUGUGUGUUACUACAAGUCAAGUUAAAGUGUUCUGUGUGUAGGUGUGUGUGUGUGUGUAUGCUACUACAAGUCAAGUUAAAGUGUUCUGUGUGUAGGUGUGUGUGUGUAUGUAUGCUACUACAAGUCAAGUUAAAGUGUUCUGUGUGUAGGUGUGUGUGUGUGUAUGUUACUAGAAAGUCAAGUCAAAGUGUUCUGCGUGUAGGUGUGUGUGUGUGUGUGUGUAGGUGUGUGUGUAUGUUACUACAAGUCAAGUUAAAGUGUUCUGUGUGUAGGUGUGUGUGUGUGUGUGUGUGUAUGUUACUACUACAAGUCAAGUCAAAGUGUUCUGUGUGUAGGUGUGUGUGUGUGUGUAGGUGUGUGUG
ensembl:lncRNA